UGGCGAACGGGUGAGUAACACGUGGGUAACCUGCCCAUCAGAAGGGGAUAACACUUGGAAACAGGUGCUAAUACCGUAUAACACUAUUUUCCGCAUGGAAGAAAGUUGAAAGGCGCUUUUGCGUCACUGAUGGAUGGACCCGCGGUGCAUUAGCUAGUUGGUGAGGUAACGGCUCACCAAGGCAACGAUGCAUAGCCGACCUGAGAGGGUGAUCGGCCACACUGGGACUGAGACACGGCCCCAGACUCCUACGGGAGGCAGCAGUAGGGAAUCUUUCGGCAAUGGGACGAAAGUCUGACCGAGCAAACCGCCGCGUGAAGUGAAGAAGGUUUUUCGG
rnacentral:rRNA from 1 species